UACGAAGGGUGCGAGCGUUAUUCGGAAUUAUUGGGCGUAAAGGGUUCGUAGGCGGGAGAGCAAGUUAAGUGUGAAAUAUCCGGGCUUAACCUGGAAAGUGCAUUUAAAACUGUUUUUCUUGAGUGUUGAAGAGGGUGGUGGAAUCGCUGGUGUAGGAGUGACAUCCGUAGAGAUCAGCAGGAACAUCGGAGGCGAAGGCGGCCACCUGGUCAACAACUGACGCCGAGGAACGAAAGCAUGGGGAGCAAACAGG
rnacentral:rRNA from 1 species